GAAAGCGGGUCUGGAUCCUUGUAAUUUGGAUCUUCAAUUUGUAAAAUGUGAAUCAACUCAACCGGAAUCCGAAUUCUAAAACGAUUCUGGGAUAGGAGGCCUCGAGAGCACGAAAGAGAUUACGGUGUAGUGGAUUUUUCUUAAAAUUUCUGAGAGCAGAAGGGAAGUAUUUAAAGAUGUUGGGCGCAUUGAAGGGACAGCCGCUGGUUACGAAGCUGGCAAAGGUGGCGCAAUACGGCAUUCUUCCUGGAGCCAUGAUCGCCUCCCUCUUUUACUCACCUCCCGAUUACGCUUCACCCAAAAAACCGUCUGAUUCUAAACCCCCCAGUUCUUCUUCCCAUUAGAUUCAAGGGCUCUUGGCUGGUUAAACAUGCAUCUUUCUAUUUCCUUGUGAUAUGUUAGUUUAAUAUGGCGAGUAAUAAAUAAUUAUUGCUGCUUUUGUUGCUAUGUACCAGUUGUAAACAAUCAGGAUUUUGAGUUUCAGUAUCUUUUGAAGAAAAUUGUUGCUUUCCUGUUAUGUCCUGCUAACAUUUGAGAGAUUUCGAUAGAUGCAAAUCUUUUUAAUUUAGCUCCUAUGCAUAC